GAUUCUUCCCAAUUCUACCGCCACCAUUCUGGUUCAAGCUACCUGUAUGAGGAACAGAAAGAAAAAUGAAGAAAAGUAAACAGAGUCCAAGGGACCUGUGGGACAUCAUCAAGUGAACUAACAUAUGCAUUACAGGAGUCUCAAGAGGGGAAGUGCAAUAGGAUCAGAAAGAAUGUUUGAAGAAAUAAUGGUUGAAAAACUCCCAAAUUUGAUGAAAGAGGUGAAUCUACAUAUCCAAGAAGCUCAAUGAACUCUAAAGAGACCCACACUGAGACGUGUUAUAGUCAAACUGUCAAAAGCCAAAGACAAUGAAAACAACAAGAGAGAAACAACUCAUCACAUACAAGAGAGCCUUAAUAAAAUUACUAGCUGAUUUCUUAUAAAAAACCAUGGAGACCAGAAAAUAAGAAUGUCGAUCAAGAAUUCUAUAUCUGACAAAACUAUUCCUAAAGAAAUUCUCAGAUAAACAAAAGCUACAGAAUUUACUAGUAGACCUGCCCUACAAGAAAUGCUAAAGAGAAUCUCUCAGAUUGAAAUUAAAGGACAUCAGACAGUAACUUGAAGCCAUAUGAAAAAAUAAAGAGCAAUUGUGAAAAAU
rnacentral:lncRNA from 10 species